GACGAACGCUGGCGGCGUGCUUAACACAUGCAAGUCGAACGGAAAGGCCCUGCUUUUGUGGGGUGCUCGAGUGGCGAACGGGUGAGUAACACGUGAGUAACCUGCCCCUGACUUUGGGAUAACUUCAGGAAACUGGGGCUAAUACCGGAUAGGAGCUCCUGCUGCAUGGUGGGGGUUGGAAAGUUUCGGCGGUUGGGGAUGGACUCGCGGCUUAUCAGCUGGUUGGUGGGGUAGUGGCUUACCAGGGCUUUGACGGGUAGCCGGCCUGGGAGGUGGACCGGCCCCAUUGGAACUGGAAUACGGCCAAAACUCCUACGGGAGGCAGCAGUGGGGAAUAUGGCACAAUGGGCGGAGGCCUGAUGCAGGAACGCCGGGUGCGGGUGAACGGCCUUCGGGUUGUAAACCGCUUUCGCCGGUGCCGAAGCGUGUGUGACGGUAAUUGGUAAAGAAGCACCGGCUAACUACGUG
rnacentral:rRNA from 1 species